rnacentral:lncRNA from 1 species
AUACAUUUAAUUAUAUUUAUAAUGUUUUCAUACAAAUAAUGUUUAAAAAAUUACAUAAAACCCUCUUGUCAAUAUCUGCUUUUUCACUUUCUCCCCUUAUUAUUUAAAAAACUACACUUUGCCCUCUUUCAAAAUAAAAAAUACUCACAGGGGGUACGGUGUUAACUGUGAUGAUAAAAUGAUCAUUUUGCCCCUCACUAUCUUUGUCUCCUCUGUAACCUUGCUAAUCCGCCUCCUUUCCUCUUCCAUUUUUCGCAUCUCAAUCCGCCGCAGUUCGUCUCUAUUUUCUUCUCCACCUUCUCCUCUUUUCCUCCUACACCCUCGUCGCCGCUCGAUUUCGGCGACAGUAAAGAGAAAAUCGAGGUGCGCGUGGAUGGAGAGGUGGGAAAGGGCGAGAGCAAAAGCGAUGCGGCGGAGGAGGGCGAGGGUUUAUUUGUGGGCUCAGACGGAGAUAUGGGUGAGGACGAGGCAGCGGAGGAGGGCGAGGCGGCAACUUGAGGAAAGAGGGCUAAGGAUAUUUUUAGUAUAAAAAAAUAUAAUAACAUUUUAUAAACGAAACCCUAAGAGCAGGGUGAAGUGAACAUUUUUCAUUUUACAAUGAGGUAAAGCGUAGAUUUUUAAAUGACAAGGGGGAAGGUAAAAAAAUAGGUAUUAACAGGAGAGGUUUCUAUAAUUUAGCCUUAAAUUAAUUAAAAAGGUAUAUAAAAUAGGUGAUGGGCAAAAUAAAAAUUUUCUUUGGUUUUUUAGUGAUCUGUUAUCAAUUUAGAUAUUUAUGAUAGUUUUUCUAAAUUAGAGGGGUAUUUUUGAUAUCGACUCUUUCAGAGGAAUAUCUAUAUAAUUCAAGGUUGGAAGGAGGGUCUAUAUGAGAUUA